AGCGAACGUUAGCGGCGCGCCUAACACAUGCAAGUGCACGAGAAAGGGAGCAAUCCCCGGUACAGUGGCGCACGGGUGAGUAACACGUAGAUGACCUUCCCUGGAGUGGUGGAUAACCUGCCGAAAGGCGGGCUAAUACAGCAUGGGACCACAUGGUUUUGACCGAGUGGUGAAAGCGGGCCUCUGUUCACAAGCUCGCGCUCUGGGAUGGGUCUGCGUCCCAUCAGCUAGUUGGUGAGGUAAUGGCCCACCAAGGCAUCGACGGGUAGCUGGUCUGAGAGGAUGACCAGCCACACUGGAACUGAGACACGGUCCAGACUCCUACGGGAGGCAGCAGUGGGGAAUCUUGCGCAAUGGGCGAAAGCCUGACGCAGCGACGCCGCGUGGGUGAUGAAGGCC
rnacentral:rRNA from 1 species